GAGUUUGAUCCUGGUUCAGGAUGAACGCUAGCGACAGGCUUAACACAUGCAAGUCGAGGGGUAACAGGGUAGCAAUACCGCUGACGACCGGCGCACGGGUGAGUAACGCGUAUGCAGCCUGCCUAUAACUGGGGAAUAGCUCCCUGAAAGGGGAAUUAACACCGCAUAACACUAUUGAUUCGCAUGGAUUGGUAGUUAAAUGUAGCGAUACAGGUUAUAGAUGGGCAUGCGUGACAUUAGCUAGUUGGUGAGGUAACGGCUCACCAAGGCUACGAUGUCUAGGGGUUCUGAGAGGAAGGUCCCCCACACUGGUACUGAGACACGGACCAGACUCCUACGGGAGGCAGCAGUGAGGAAUAUUGGUCAAUGGGCGCAAGCCUGAACCAGCCAUGUCGCGUGCAGGAAGACUGCCCUAUGGGUUGUAAACUGCUUUUAUAGUAGAAGAAACACAUCUACGUGUAGAUGUCUGCCAGUAUACUAUGAAUAAGCAUCGGCUAACUCCGUGCCAGCAGCCGCGGUAAUACGGAGGAUGCAAGCGUUAUCCGGAUUUAUUGGGUUUAAAGGGUGCGUAGGCGGGACUGUAAGUCAGGGGUGAAAUACUGCAGCUUAACUGUAGCAUUGCCUUUGAAACUGCCGUUCUUGAGUACAGUUGAGGUAGGCGGAAUGUGGUGUGUAGCGGUGAAAUGCAUAGAUAUACCACAGAACGCCGAUUGCGAAGGCAGCUUACUAAGCUGUUACUGACGCUGAGGCACGAAAGCGUGGGGAUCAAACAGGAUUAGAUACCCUGGUAGUCCACGCUGUAAACGAUGA
rnacentral:rRNA from 1 species